UAACUUUAAAUUAGGGCAGAAUCACCCUAUAUUGAAAGGGCUGGGUAACCAGCUAUGGCGAUAAACGGCCAGUGCAAUAAGCGAUGCGGACCCGGGGGCGGUACCCGGCGCCUCCACCAAUUUUAAAUCCCGGUCAGUCGAGAUUUUCAUUGGGGGCGAAAUAGGAUCGACGCGCGUCUAAAGACUGGUUUUUUGCUCGGCAUGGUACCGCCGUUAUCGGGCCGAAUUACAAGUGCCAAUGAUAAUGACUUGGCCCUCGCUGCCUAACAUUAGGUAAGCGCGGCCCGGGGGGCGCCGGGCAACAGAAGCCCCCCACC
rnacentral:tmRNA from 1 species